CAGCUCCUUUUAUGUAAACAGAAACAGAAGAAAAUGGGCAAAAGAUUCAUUACAAAUCUGUGAGUGGACUAGAGAUGCUAGUAAGACUGUACUUCUGGAUGGAAUUUAAUAAAGUAUUAUAACCCCCUGACACUGGGGAGAACCAAGGAUCUUAUCGAAAGUUUAAAGUACUUAAUCUGACAGGUAGACAUUCCUGUCUACACUUGGAACUAGCAGGUUUGCUGCCCACACAUGAUCAGCAUUUUGACACUCCUUGAUAGAACAGUAUUUAAAAAGUGAACACAUGAGAGGAGCACAGUGAGGAAAAAAGAAUCAGCAGGACUCUGGUGAGUUAAAAUUGGAUCAUCAAUUCUCAUCAGGAGAAAGAGGUACCUCUCACUGACCGCUCCCUCUUCCCAGCACCGCUCACUGUUACAGCUGCACUACCCGACUUGAAACAUUCGCAGUUAAUUGACCUUGAACAUUUCAAUUUCUCACCUGCGGUGAAAAGAACACUCUGGAAUCUUGGCACUGCCUCCCCUGGUCCCAGGGAGUUACAGGGAUGAACGCGUAACCUGAGCCAGGCCAAUGGAGCAAUUCCAGGAUUCUGUUGGAGAAGAAGAGACCCUGUUUUCUGCUCCGAAAGCCAAAAGGAUGGGACUCGCGCAUCCAAGUGCAGAAGCUAUCUUUGUGGAAAGCCUGCCCGAGUGAAGCCAACACAGAGGGAAGCGGAGGUGGAAGAUGAAGCGAGACCAAGUUCUGCUGGCACAGUCAGCACCCCUGAGUCCAGCUGUGCCUGCAGGCCAUUCCCUGUGCCUUCCAGUUCUAUGAGCCAUGAGUUAACCCCUUCACUCACGCUGAACCCGCUUGGGGCCACUGCUUCAGCAAUUCUCCUCUUUCUCCGCCUCAUUUUUAUUUUUUCCUCUUGAAUGGACCAUUCCCAUGGAUGUACAAGCAUGCUGUCAU